rnacentral:rRNA from 1 species
UGGGGAAUAUUGGACAAUGGGGGGCAACCCUGAUCCAGCAAUGCCGCGUGUGUGAAGAAGGUCUUCGGAUUGUAAAGCACUUUCGACGGGGACGAUGAUGACGGUACCCGUAGAAGAAGCCCCGGCUAACUUCGUGCCAGCAGCCGCGGUAAGUACGAAGGGGGCUAGCGUUGCUCGGAAUGACUGGGCGUAAAGGGCGUGUAGGCGGUUUACACAGUCAGAUGUGAAAUCCCCGGGCUUAACCUGGGAGCUGCAUUUGAUACGUGUAGACUAGAGUGUGAGAG